rnacentral:rRNA from 1 species
GAUGAACGCUGGCGGCGUGCCUAAUACAUGCAAGUUGAGCGAAUGGAUUAAGAGCUUGCUCUUAUGAAGUUAGCGGCGGACGGGUGAGUAACACGUGGGUAACCUGCCCAUAAGACUGGGAUAACUCCGGGAAACCGGGGCUAAUACCGGAUAACAUUUUGAACCGCAUGGUUCGAAAUUGAAAGGCGGCUUCGGCUGUCACUUAUGGAUGGACCCGCGUCGCAUUAGCUAGCUGGUGAGGUAACGGCUCACCAAGGCAACGAUGCGUAGCCGACCUGAGAGGGUGAUCGGCCACACGGGGACUGAGACACGGCCCAGACUCCUACGGGAGGCAGCAGUAGGGAAUCUUCCGCAAUGGACGAAAGUCUGACGGAGCAACGCCGCGUGAGUGAUGAAGGCUUUCGGGUCGUAAAACUCUGUUGUUAGGGAAGAACAAGUGCUAGUUGAAUAAGCUGGCACCUUGACGGUACCUAACCAGAAAGCCACGGCUAACUACGUGCCAGCAGCCGCCGUAA